UGCGUAGGCGGAUUUUUAAGUCAGUGGUGAAAGCCCGGAGCUCAACUCCGGAACUGCCAUUGAUACUAUUAAUCUUGAAUACAGUUGAGGUGGGCGGAAUGUGUAGUGUAGCGGUGAAAUGCUUAGAUAUUACACAGAACACCGAUUGCGAAGGCAGCUCGCUAAACUGUUAUUGACGCUGAGGCACGAAAGCGUGGGGAGCGAACAGGAUUAGAUACCCUGGUAGUC
rnacentral:rRNA from 1 species